AAUUUUAUGCUAGGCUUUGUAUGGUGACUCAUGUUUUCAAUAAAUUAAAUACUAAAAUUAACUGUAUACUUUUACCACACCCCGGUACAAAAAUAUAUUCUUUUUUUUUCCCCCUAAGGGACUUUUAAAAGCUGAAGAGCACAGCUGGUCCCUUGCGGAAUUGGUACAUGCAGUAGUUUUACUCACACACUAUCAUUCUCUUGCCUCAUUCACAUUCGGCUGUGGAAUCAGUCCAGAAAUUCAUUGUGAUGGUGGCCACACAUUCAGACCUCCUUCUGUUAGCAACUACUGCAUCUGUGACAUUACAAAUGGCAAUCACAGUGUGGAUGAGAUGCCGGUCAACUCAGCAGAAAAUGUUUCUGUAAGUGAUUCUUUCUUUGAGGUUGAAGCCCUCAUGGAAAAGAUGAGGCAGUUACAGGAAUGUCGAGAUGAAGAAGAGGCAAGUCAGGAAGAGAUGGCUUCACGUUUUGAAAUAGAAAAAAGAGAGAGUAUGUUUGUCUUCUCUUCAGAUGAUGAAGAAGUUACACCAGCAAGAGAUGUAUCUCGUCAUUUUGAGGAUACUAGUUAUGGCUAUAAAGAUUUCUCUAGAC
rnacentral:sRNA from 1 species